rnacentral:SRP_RNA from 13 species
GCGGGGCACAGUGGCGCGUGCCUAUAAUCCCAGCUACUCGGGAGGCUGAGGUGGGAGGAUCGCUUGAGUCCAGGAGUUCUGGGCAUAGUGCGCUAUGCCAAUCAGGUGUCCGCAUUAAGUUCGGCAUCAGUAUGGUGACCUGGAGCGGGAGACCACCAGGCUGCCUAAGGAGGAUUGAACUGGCCCAGGUCAGAAAUGGAGCAGGUCAAAACUCCAGUGCUGAUCAGCAGUGGGAUCGCGCCUGUGAAUAGCCACUGCACUCCAGCCUGGGCAACAACAAUAGGGAGACCCCUGUCUA